AGAGUUUGAUCCUGGCUCAGAUCGAACGCUGGCGGCAUGCUUUACACAUGCAAGUCGAACGGCAGCACGGGUGCUUGCACCUGGUGGCGAGUGGCGAACGGGUGAGUAAUGCACCGGAACGUACCCAGUAAUGGGGGAUAACACAUCGAAAGAUGUGCUAAUACCGCAUACGCCCUGAGGGGGAAAGCGGGGGAUCGUAAGACCUCGCGUUAUUGGAGCGGCCGAUGCCGGAUUAGCUAGUUGGUGAGGUAAGAGCUCACCAAGGCGACGAUCCGUGGCUGGUCUGAGAGGACGACCAGCCACACUGGGACUGAGACACGGCCCAGACUCCUACGGGAGGCAGCAGUGGGGAAUUUUGGACAAUGGGCGCAAGCCUGAUCCAGCCAUGCCGCGUGAGUGAAGAAGGCCUUCGGGUUGUAAAGCUCUUUCGCAAGGAAAGAAAACUUAUCU
rnacentral:rRNA from 1 species